UGCAGUCGACGGUAACAGGAAGCAAGCUUGCUUCUUUGCUGACGAGUGGCGGACGGGUGAGUAAUGUCUGGGAAACUGCCUGAUGGAGGGGGAUAACUACUGGAAACGGUAGCUAAUACCGCAUAACGUCGCAAGACCAAAGAGGGGGACCUUCGGGCCUCUUGCCAUCGGAUGUGCCCAGAUGGGAUUAGCUUGUUGGUGGGGUAACGGCUCACCUAGGCGACGAUCCCUAGCUGGUCUGAGAGGAUGACCAGCCACACUGGAACUGAGACACGGUCCAGACUCCUACGGGAGGCAGCAGUGGGGAAUAUUGCACAAUGGGCGCAAGCCUGAUGCAGCCAUGCCGCGUGUAUGAAGAAGGCCUUCGGGUUGUAAAGUACUUUCAGCGGGGAGGAAGGGAGUAAAGUUAAUACCUUUGCUCAUUGACGUUACCCGCAGAAGAAGCACCGGCUAACUCCGUGCCAGCAGCCGCGGUAAUACGGAAGGGUGCAAGCGUUAAUCGGAAUUACUGGGCGUAAAGCGCACGCAGGCGGUUUGUUAAGUCAGAUGUGAAAUCCCCGGGCUCAACCUGGGAACUGCAUCUGAUACUGGCAAGCUUGAGUCUCGUAGAGGGGGGUAGAAUUCCAGGUGUAGCGGUGAAAUGCGUAGAGAUCUGGAGGAAUACCGGUGGCGAAGGCGGCCCCCUGGACGAAGACUGACGCUCAGGUGCGAAAGCGUGGGGAGCAAACAGGAUUAGAUACCCUGGUAGUCCACGCCGUAAACGAUGUCGACUUGGAGGUUGUGCCCUUGAGGCGUGGCUUCCGGAGCUAACGCGUUAAGUCGACCGCCUGGGGAGUACGGCCGCAAGGUUAAAACUCAAAUGAAUUGACGGGGGCCCGCACAAGCGGUGGAGCAUGUGGGUUUAAUUCGAUGCAACGCGAAGAACCUUACCUGGUCUUGACAUCCACGGAAGUUUUCAGAGAUGAGAAUGUGCCUUCGGGAACCGUGAGACAGGUGCUGCAUGGCUGUCGUCAGCUCGUGUUGUGAAAUGUUGGGUUAAGUCCCGCAACGAGCGCAACCCUUAUCCUUUGUUGCCAGCGGUCCGGCCGGGAACUCAAAGGAGACUGCCAGUGAUAAACUGGAGGAAGGUGGGGAUGACGUCAAGUCAUCAUGGCCCUUACGACCAGGGCUACACACGUGCUACAAUGGCGCAUACAAAGAGAAGCGACCUCGCGAGAGCAAGCGGACCUCAUAAAGUGCGUCGUAGUCCGGAUUGGAGUCUGCAACUCGACUCCAUGAAGUCGGAAUCGCUAGUAAUCGUGGAUCAGAAUGCCACGGUGAAUACGUUCCCGGGCCUUGUACACACCGCCCGUCACACCAUGGGAGUGGGUUGCAAAAGAAGUAGGUAGCUUAACCUUCGGGAGGGCGCUUACCACUUUGUGAUUCAUGAC
rnacentral:rRNA from 1 species